ACCGCGAAACUGCGAAUGGCUCAUUAAAUCAGUUAUCGUUUAUUUGAUAGUACCUUACUACUUGGAUAACCGUGGUAAUUCUAGAGCUAAUACAUGCUAAAAAUCCCGACUUCGGAAGGGAUGUGUUUAUUAGAUUAAAAACCAAUGCCCUUCGGGGCUCACUGGUGAUUCAUGAUAACCUCUCGAAUCGCAUGGCCUUGCGCCGGCGAUGGUUCAUUCAAAUUUCUGCCCUAUCAACUUUCGAUGGCUGGGUCUUGGCCAGCCAUGGUGACAACGGGUAACGGAGGGUUAGGGCUCGACCCCGGAGAAGAAGCAUGAGAAUCGGCUUCUACAUCCAAGGAAGGCAGCAGGCGCGCAAAUUACCCAAUCCCGACUCGGGGAGGUAGUGACAAUAAAUACUGAUACAGGGCUCUUUUGGGUCUUGUAAUUGGAAUGAGUACAAUUUAAAUCCCUUAACGAGGAACAAUUGGAGGGCAAGUCUGGUGCCAGCAGCCGCGGUAAUUCCAGCUCCAAUAGCGUAUAUUAAAGUUGUUGCAGUUAAAAAGCUCGUAGUUGAACCUUGGGCCUGGCUGGCCGGUCCGCCUCACCGCGUGCACUGGUCCGGCCGGGCCUUUCCCUCUGGGGAACCGCAUGUCCUUCACUGGGCGUGCUGGGGAACCAGGACUUUUACUUUGAAAAAAUUAGAGUGUUCAAAGCAGGCCUAUGCUCGAAUACAUUAGCAUGGAAUAAUAGAAUAGGACGUGCGGUUCUAUUUUGUUGGUUUCUAGGACCGCCGUAAUGAUUAAUAGGGACAGUCGGGGGCAUCAGUAUUCAAUUGUCAGAGGUGAAAUUCUUGGAUUUAUUGAAGACUAACUACUGCGAAAGCAUUUGCCAAGGAUGUUUUCAUUAAUCAGGGAACGAAAGUUAGGGGAUCGAAGACGAUCAGAUACCGUCGUAGUCUUAACCAUAAACUAUGCCGACUAGGGAUCGG
rnacentral:rRNA from 1 species